GUAGUAUUAGUUAUAUUCUUAAAAUUUAAAAAAUUUGGCGGUGUUUUAGUCUAUUUAGAGGAAUCUGUUCUGAAUUGAUAAUUCACAUUGAACCUUACUUAAAUUUGUUUAAUUUGUAUAUCGCCGUCAUCAGAAUAUGUUAUAAGAUGUCAGGUCAAGGUGCAGUUUAUAUUUAAGUAGAAAUGGAUUACAAUAAUUUUAUUUAAAUGGAUAAUUUUUUGAAAUAAAGAUUUGAAGGUGGAUUUAAUAGUAAUAUAAAAGAGAUUAU
rnacentral:rRNA from 1 species